UGGAUCGCGAUUAAUAGCCGCGAUCCAAACCUAAAAUAUUUAGACCGCGACUAUUAAUCGCUAUCCAUUUCGGGGGUCUUUAUGUAAAACAUUGUUGGUCCACUGCUCCCCUUGCUGUCGCCGGCGGCCGACGCCUGACACCGUUGGCGUGCCCGACUGCCCGUGCGGGGCUUCCGGAUGAACCCCUUGAGUCCUUCGCCUGCUCUGGGGGAGAACGCCAGCGACGAGGUCAUCGACGGCAGGCUGCGCCGCAAGGACGGACGCCGCCACCGCGCCCGGUGCCGGUGCCUAGCGUCGAGAUGCACGCGUCGAGAUGCACGCGCCCGGUGCCGGAGCCUAGCUGGAUGCCGAGCGUGACGAUGGCGGCGCUGUCGCCCAUGACUGUGGUCAGCAUCAUCUCCUUCUCCAGGAUCCGGUCCAACUCCGCCGCCACCAGCCGCAUCCUGGGCCGCCGCCUCGCCGACGGGCUCAGGCACUGGGACGCCAGGCCCACCAGCUCCGUCGUGCCCUCGGCCCUCCGAUGUGAAGCUCCCUCCCACUCUCCCAGCCUCCGGUCGACCAGCUCGUUCGAGGUGAAAUGUGCCUCCAUCUAACAGAUCCACAACACAAUCAACCCGAACACGAAUUUUCCCGCUGCCAUUCGACGGAGCGGCGCGUUCGAACCCUCGCAUCAGCCUGUCGAUUCCGGCGUCAGACAACCUUGGCGAUGAAAUACUCGUCGACGAGGACGUUGCUCGUCUUGAAGUCCCUGUGGAUCAACGGAGGCGCCAGGGUGUGCAGGUGAUUCAGACCUGCGAUUCAGAAUUCAUACUUCAAACUCUGUUUGUUUUACGCUUUUUACACUUUUCCAGUGCAUCAAUCGUCAUGAGAGAUGUAAAACAAUGACAGCCUUGUAAUCUUUAGCUGCUCCAGUGGCUAUGGAGAGCCUCUUCUUGAACUCCAGCCUAGUCAUGGACUCCUUGCCGGUGUCUGAUGAACAGCACACAUACAACACAGUGUUCAUGCAACAUUCAGGGAGUCAUCAGCUUAGCUCAUUACCGUACAGAUGGCAACUCAAACUGCCGUUCGGCAGGUAAUCAAACACCAGCAUCUGUAGACCCUUUUCUUGGCAGUAGCCGAUCAGCGUUACGACGUUGCGGUGCCAGAUCUCUGAUAGCCUCCUGAUCUGCAUUUUCACAAGAGACCCAUGUAUUUUUUUUUUCAGUCAAGUGACGAAUUUCAUCUUGCAAAUUACUGAAGACGUUCAGGGUGCACAAGGAGCUGGGCAGUUCAGGAAAAAUGUGUGUUGAUCAGUAACUGAAAACCGAGAAAGACGCCGCUCGCCCGGGUGUGAUGUGAUUGAUGCGCAAGCGUAACCUUCUUCCCCACAUGGCAAUCGGGAAUGGCCGGAUGGUUCUUGCUACUUUCUUCAACUGCAAGUCUGCAACAACAAAUUAUUAUAUUUUUCAGUGCAGCCUGUGCAAGUGGAAUUGUGGGUGUUCG
rnacentral:lncRNA from 1 species